GUGAGUUGGCAGAGAUAUGUAAUUGACUUAGGAUCAAAAGACAGGGAACUUACCCCUACUCACUA
rnacentral:tRNA from 1 species